AAGUCGUAACAAGGUUUCCGUAGGUGAACCUGCGGAAGGAUCAUUAACACUUCCAAUUUACAAUAACAAACAACUAACGAGGCCAGUGUGGCAAACACGCUCGACGCCAGGACUGAUUAUAUUCCGUGAUGACCUUACUUGCUCUUUUCUUCCUCGUAACAGGGGUUGUGCAGAGCCAGUGGUUUCACGAAAGGGAUAAACUAUUCAAUUAGUUGAUACAACUCUUAACAAUGGAUAUCUCGGUUCUC
rnacentral:misc_RNA from 1 species